UUUUCAUCCCUGACAGAGCUAACAAUAGCUGUAUAAACAGCACUCAGUUCUGGCAGUCUACCCUGUAGUACCCCUACGUUUGCAUUAACGAAAGCAGUGUAGCC
rnacentral:ncRNA from 1 species